rnacentral:rRNA from 1 species
UACGUAGGGGGCAAGCGUUGUCCGGAAUUAUUGGGCGUAAAGAGCGUGUAGGCGGCCAGAUAAGUCCGCUGUGAAAUCUCGAGGCUCAACUUCGAGCUGUCGGUGGAAACUAUCUGGCUAGAGUCCGGAAGAGGAGAAUGGAAUUCCUGGUGUAGCGGUGAAAUGCGCAAAUAUCAGGAAGAACACCCGUGGCGAAGGCGGCUCUCUGGGACGGUACUGACGCUGAGACGCGAAAGCGUGGGGAGCGAACAGG